rnacentral:rRNA from 1 species
UUUGUUGUUUGUUUUGUUGUUUUUUCUUGUUUUUUGUUGUUUUUAAUUGAAGUAUCAUUAGAGGUUAUUGUAUUAUUUGUGAUUUAAUUUUUUGAGCGAUAGUUUAUUUGUACUGUGAGGGGUUAUAUUAGUUGAUUAAGGAUUUUUUGGAAGUUGAUUUUGUUUGUUGUACCUUGUGUAUCAGGGUUCAUUGAAUUUUAUUAUUUAUUUUUAUUUCCCGAUUUUGAAGGAGUUAAUGGGUUAUGUUAGUUGCUGUUUCAUUAGUAUUAAUAAUAGCUUGUUGGUAGUGAAAUGUUAUUCGUCUUUGGUGGUUUCUGGUUUUUCAAGAAAUGAAUUUAAUUCAUACAUUUUAUUUAAUUUCUUUUAUUAUUUAUUUAUUUUUAUUUGAUGUUAAAAUUAAGGGGGAUUAGCUCUUUAUUUUGGUUUUAUAAUUUUUUGUUAAAUUUAGUUUUGUGGAUUUUAUGGUGAUUUUCAAUUUGAUUAUGUUAAAAUUUUAUUUGUUCUUUUAUUUAUUUAAUUUGUGAUUUAAAUUAUUUAUUGAAAUGUUUAUUUUAUUUGUUGUUUGUAUAGUAAUUAUUGUGUAAUUAGUAAAUUUUUUAUUUGUGUUGUUUUAUUAAAUGAUAAUUUUCUUUAAGGAAUUCGGCAAAGUAUUUAUGUCCGCCUGUUUAACAAAAACAUCUUUUCUUGUUAGUUUUUGAAGUAUGGCCUGCCCACUGACUUUUAGUUGAAGGGCCGCGGUAUUUUGACCGUGCAAAGGUAGCAUAAUCAUUAGUUCUUUAAUUGUGAUCUGGUAUGAAUGGCUUGACGAGGCAUAAGCUGUCUUAGGGGUAUUGUUUUAAUUGAAUUUGUAGUUUGAGUUAAAAUACUUAGAUGUUGUUAUGGGACGAGAAGACCCUAUAGAGUUUAACAUUUAUUUUGGCUGGUUUAAUUUGUUUGAUUUAUUUAUUGGAGUUAAGUUGGAUGUUUUGUUGGGGUGAUGGGAAGAAUUAUUGUAACUCUUCUUUAUUUUUAUAUAUUUAUUUAUAUUAAUUUGAUCCAUUUAUGUUGAUUAUAAGAUUAAAUUACCUUAGGGAUAACAGCGUUAUCUUCCUUGAGAGUUCUUAUUGGCGGGGAGGUUUGCGACCUCGAUGUUGGAUUAGGGUGAAUUUUCGGUGCAGGAGCUGAAAUGAUUAGGUCUGUUCGACCUUUAAAAUCUUACAUGAUUUGAGUUCAGACCGGCGUGAGCCAGGUUGGUUUCUAUCUAUAAUAAUGUUUAUAUCUUAGUACGAGAGGACCGGAUAUUUGAAAUAAUUUUAUUUAUGUAUGAAUUUCUUUAAUGUUGUUACUAUUUUGGCAGAUAAGUGCAUUGGAUUUAGAAUCUAUUAA